rnacentral:lncRNA from 1 species
UCGAGCACCCAGAGAGAAAAAGGGGAAAAAUUUAAAAUGAUCCAAGCAAAAAUAUGCUUAUCUAAAGCUGCCGGCAGAAGGAUCUUAGAGAUGAAGAUCGUAUAUGAUGAAACUCCAUUUCAUUUAUUAAUUCCCACUUUUGAGAGAAGAACUAGAAAAUGUUCUCCCAAAAUUUGCCUUUAUAUGUUCAUUGAAGCAAAAGUCAAAGUAAUUGUAGAAUUUCAAGCAAAGUGAAUCAAUUCCACACCUACACUGUGAUUGAAACAAAAGCCAUUAGAAGAGGUGAAACAACUCGAUGUGCACAAGAAUUAACUACUUUUUGACGACGAUUAAUGUACCCUAGCCCCUUUUUAUACAAAAAUGGGUGUUACCAAAACUCAAAAUAGCAACAAAGGUUGGAGUAAACCAAGAAACAACUUAAAAUAGAACAUCUUCCAAAUUACUAUAUUUAUCCUUAGGAGAAAGAAAGCAACAAUAUGUUCCAUAGAGUAGGUACAUUAAUCAGGCAUUUCACUACACAUAUAGUAUGCAAAGCCAAUUUUAUCCUAUUUGAUUUCUCUAGCAAAUGAUAACACAAAUGAGGAAAAAUAUAACUUUAAACAGAACAUUGACACUAUGUUGAAUACAAGCAGAUGUAAAGCUCCCAACCUAAUAGACGUUAAAGUAAAUCGUAAAGAGGAAGGAACAACACAACUACUAUAAACCUAUUUCGAAGGAAAAGAAAAAUUAGCACACCACUGAAUUUUACUUCUAUACAAAAAAUAAACACUAAAUUAGAAUGAACAGCUCCAUAAAACAGUCUUAAACAUACACCGAUUGACGCGUUCAACCAUGAAUCACAAACAUCAAGCAACCGACGAAAUGAACGAAACUAUUGCAAAUUUUGUUACACACAAGUCCUAUGGCAUGUAAGCCUUCCUACAACAAAUAAUUCCCAGCACUUCUAUCAUUACUAACGACAAAGAUAUAAGGCUAAUACGCUAAAAAAAUUAAUGAGAAGAAGAAAAAAUACUGAAAGCAAAAGAGCCAAAAUACCUGUUUCAGGGCAACAAAACAGGACUUUAGGCUUCUGCCGGAGUAACAACCACCACCAAAAAAUAUUGUCGUCAACUCGAGAACUUCGAUUAGCCAGCGAAUUUCAUGAAAAAGGAAAAUUUUUACUAAAAUUUUUACUCUUUUUGAUCAAAGCUUUUUCCAAACCGUGAGACUUGUCCUCAAUUUGCUCCACAAUGAGCUAUUUAUAGAAAAUAAAAUGGAAGAAAUUUUUAGCUUUCACCGAUGUGGGACAAAGGAUUUUCAAGGGUAAUUUGGUGAAUUUUAAUGGGGUAAAUUUGAAUUUGGCAUGUGGAUAAGGUUUUGUACCUCAUUCUAGUACUGAUUUUUGGAACUUUCUGAAGAAAAUUUAAUGGGUUUAAUCAAUGGAAAUUGGGAAAAAGGAAUAAUCCCCAAGAACCAAUAGAAUUAGCAUAAAUGUGUACGAAUUCAUACCAAUUUCCCCCCAAAUUCAUGGAUUUGAAUGUUAGACGAGCCAGCUAAGUAAUUUGUAGAAGAUUCUCGGCAUCUUCCUUAUACAGAUCCGCGUGGGAGGGCACGUGAUGCAUACGAGAAACGAGUUGAGGUCAGGUCGAUUGUGGGUCGAGGUGUGGCUGAAGUUGUUGGAGUUGUUAUCAUCCAUAUUGAAGGUGUUUGCUGAUAGAAUUGUUGUUUAUUGAAAUUGAAGAAGAAAAACAAUGGGCUGGGUCUUGGGAUUUUGGGCUGCUGGUUCAGUUGAUUGGAGUGAUUGGGCUAGAGUAUUAUUGGGCCUGGGGCAGGUCAGCCAUGACAUGGGCUGUUUGUUGUUAUUGUUUUGCGGGCAAAAUUCAGAAAUAAUAUACUUAACUCUUUAAUUAUGAGAUUCAUAGCAACACUUUCAUAAUUGCAUAUUAUAGCAACUUUUGAUAUGUAUUUUUGUAAAGUGUUGCUAUAAAAAUACAAAUACAAUUGUUUUUACUGCAUUAAUUGUCUGAUCUAAAUAUGGUAAUAAUUCCAUAAAUUAACAAUUAAAGAUUACAAUCCCAUUAAAAGCUCACUAAUCACCCUUUUUUCGUUACCUUCAAACAACCCUAUUCAAAUGCAAAAAAAAUAAAAAAUUGUAUUAUCCACUCGCUAUAUGCGUGAUUCUUCUUCUUAAAAAAAAAAAAAAUUCAAUUCAAUUUUCCAGUCGCUAAACGCAUGAUCC